rnacentral:rRNA from 1 species
GACGACGCUGGCGGCGUGCCUAACACAUGCAAGUCGAGCGAAUGAAGUUCCUUUGGGAAUGGAUUUAGCGGCGGACGGGUGAGUAACACGUGGGUAACCUGCCUCAUAGAGGGGAAUAGCCUUCCGAAAGGGAGAUUAAUACCGCAUAAGAUUGUAGUACCGCAUGAUACAGCAAUUAAAGGAGCAAUCCGCUAUGAGAUGGGCCCGCGGCGCAUUAGCUAGUUGGUGAGGUAACGGCUCACCAAGGCGACGAUGCGUAGCCGACCUGAGAGGGUGAUCGGCCACAUUGGGACUGAGACACGGCCCAGACUCCUACGGGAGGCAGCAGUGGGGAAUAUUGCACAAUGGGGGAAACCCUGAUGCAGCAACGCCGCGUGAGUGAUGACGGCCUUCGGGUUGUAAAGCUCUGUCUUCAGGGACGAUAAUGACGGUACCUGAGGAGGAAGCCACGGCUAACUACGUG